rnacentral:sRNA from 1 species
UCAAUGCAGUCUGUUCGCUUACGCACU